GCUUAGGGCCAAGCAGAGAGAAAGUGCCCUGCCUUCUAGAAGUCUGUGCUUAGUGAUACGGAGAAGUUUACAACUAGGUUCGGCAGAGAGAAUAAAUGCCGUGAAUUCCUCAGGGUCUAAGAACCAGCAAGCCAGCCCCUGCGCUCCACAAGCACGAGCACCUCUGAGACCCGCUCGCCUGCACUGCCGCAGACUUCACUACAGAAAUGUUCCCAAAUGAAUAGGCCCAUACUUGCCGAUUCAGAGAGCUGCUUAGAGUGAGUCUCUCAUGCCUAGAGCUCUGUGGUUACUAGUCUUAUUUCCCUUUUCUGUGACAGAAAUCUAUAAGGGGAGCCCUGAAACUCUUGAUCAGGACCAAGUGAAACGCUGUGUGUUCAGAGCAAGACACACAGGUCAUAGGAACGACACAGAAGACAGCGGCAGCCCAGCGGACUGCGCGGGUUCCCUCCGCUUUGCACUGAGCAGGGCUGGGGCAGCGCUGACUGCAGUCCCCAGACAGAAGCGGGGAGAGUCGGGACAGAUUGUCAUCUUGCGGCUGUGAUUUUCCUGGUCCUUCAUGUUAGUUUAGGGGAAAGUUUUCUCAUGCAAAAUGACUCCCAAGAGCUCUGUCAAGAACCAAAAUUAUAAAACAAAACACAACCAAAACUCAGUGCCUUCCCAGGAGGCCAGGAUAGGAUGAGGGUCCACUGCCUUUGUUGCUGCCGCCUGCACAGGCCAGACAGAAGGGCCAUCGCUGCCCUCGUGCCAGCCAGAGCCUGUCAAUGCUGCCUCCCCUGGGCCCUGAAUCCGAGGCACCUGGAAGGGUUAUUAGCAGGAUUGGAACUCAUCCCUCUGCUGGGACUAGAUCAUAAUUACAGUAAUUUUCUAACAGAGCUCAGCAGUAGGACUGUUUAAUCAGCAUCUGACUCCCUUGUGCUCCCAGCCCUCAUCACUCAAGGAGAGGAGUGGGAUGGCUCUUAAAGAGACAGUGCCCGCCUUUCAGCGUUUUGAACAGAUGUGCCCUAAUUGGUAGAAUAUAUCUAAGUCUCGUAGCUUACAGCAGGCAGGUUGCAUUGCCUCCGACAAACCACCUCAGGCCCUCACUAUUCUGGGCCUUCUGCUGGAGGGAUUCAGGUCAGGCUGCUGGGGCCUGGCUUCCCACGCCAACCUGGCCACCAGGGGAGGGGACACACACAGGGCUAGAGCACCUAUGGAAGAAUCCAAACCAGCUGGCUCUUCCAAACGGAUGGUAUGAAGGAAGAAGUGCUUGCCUGAAGGACGGCAAGGAGG
rnacentral:lncRNA from 1 species